GCGCUGGUGGUGGAAUGGUAGACACACCAUCUUGAGGGGGUGGCGGGGAGACCCAUGCGAGUUCAAGUCUCGCUCAGCGCACCA
rnacentral:tRNA from 2 species